GACGCAGAGAGGGCUGUGGUUAGGAAACUUGAAGUCCAGGGGUCCAGCCUGAACCUCACUGAUACCAGCUACUCUCAUGAGUCUGCAGAGGGAAGAUACUGGGCUGACCAUGCUCAUUAGCAUGUGAAUAAGAGACUGUGACACAGGGAACCUGCUGUAGUGACUUCCUGGCUUAUACCUGUCAUCUCUGUCAAUCAACAUGCUCUUAAGGAUCCAAGGGACCCGAUCUCUCUGCCGUAUCCACUUGGACAGGGAUAAGAGCAAAGAGCUGGAAUUCAGAGCUGACUCAGCCCUGACAGAUGUGCACGGGGCCAGGAAUCUGGUUGGAGACAUCCACCGUUCACAUGUGGGGAAGUAUCCCAGAGUGACUUGUGCGACCACUGACCAGGUAGAUCCUACUCGGUGUUUCCAGUUCAGAAAACAGUGGUGAUGGGCUGAUAAGUUCAGCUGACUCAGCCACACUCAGUCCUGGGUCCAUCUCUACCAGCUGAAUUCCCACCUUCCUCUAGGAUAGGGACCUCUGGACUCUGACCCACUUCCUGUGGCUUUAGGGGCAAGAGGCCUAUGGGCUGCUACUUGUGUAUAGAGGCUGAGGAGGGGUGUGUGUAAACGGCAGACCUCUGUGUGUGUGACCAUUAGAGAAGGUUCUUUGGCUUCGGCUGCCUAGUGAGGCCGUGUGUGAAGAACGCAUUUGAUAGGGCAGCUGGGAACGGGGCGGGAGAAUCCUCGGAACGGUUUCAAGAGAAACAGCAUUGGACUUGGACCCAAAAUGCAUAGUCUCGAGUCUGUCCUGCCUUUGGACACUUCUCUAUGACUCUAUUUCUUCGUCUGCAAAACAGCAGUGCUCUCUACUCCUGCAAGCCUGUGUCUGGGAAGGUUCCUUGAUGCACUUCGGAGAACCGGAUGGCUAUAAAGGAUAGAGCGGUCUUUCCUCCCUUAGGACAGACAUGAGUAUCAUGGAUCCCCUUCCUCAGCUGAAGAAACCGUGGCGUGGAACAAAAGGUCAAAUCCAAGAUCCCUGGUUGGCUUAGGCCCUUGGUCUCCUCACCAAAUUUCUUGCGCUGCUCAUCAGUCAGUGCGGAACCUGCCCCACCGGCCCCAUGUAUGCUCUCACCCUGACCGAGCUCCGCAUGGGCCCCAGGUCGUGGUUGUAGGCUUCUGCCAUCAGCACAUGGGACGAGUUUCGCUCCCUGUCCAGGGGCCUUGGGCCUCGCACCAGGAGCCCGCUGCUGACGUGGAGCCGGAAGUUGUUGCCAUGGUUACCUGUGGAGGGACACAAGAGAUGUAUGGGCUGGACUGGGUGGAAGAUGCCCACGAGAUAGAAGGCGGUGAGUUCCAGGACCUAUGGUGUGCUGGUCCUGCCCACAGGACUUGGGUGUCGAAUUAAUUAUUAAUUAACAAAUCCCAGUUCGGGAUUGCUACCCACCUCGAUGGCUUAUGAGUGAAAGACACAUACAUAGCCUUUAUAUUUUAAUAAGCCUUAAGCGGCACAGUAGCUGGGCACCUGCCUAGCCUCCAUACUACUAGAAUCUACCUCCCACCAAUAAUUCUGAGUUACUACUUACUACAUUCUACGUUUUGCCUUGGCUGCCCUGGACUCAGUGCUUUGGCUCUCCCGGCUCUGGCACGUGGCAGCCAUGCCUCUCUGUCCUACACUCUUCACAGGCUCGGUGUCUCUCCUCUCCUCCACACUUUCUUAGCAUGGCGGAUUUCCUCCUUUCCUUCUUGUUCCUGGUCCCAAGUCUGGGAAAAAUCUCAAACCCCAGCUCUGUCUGUUCUCCUCAGCUAUUGGCUGUUGGCAUUUUUAUUUACCAAUGAGAACCAACUGGGGACAGAGUCCCAAAAGCAAAUGGUUUUUUGAGGGAUACAAAUUAGCAUUAGAAUACAAGCAGCUACAUUUCCUCCUUUUUGUCCAAUUAAAAAGGUUCUUUUCUCUCAGAUACACAUUGAACAUAAUUAAAACAAUUAUGUAAAUUGUAAGGUCUGAUAGACAUAACAUUUAGUCUAUCAUAUUUGGCAAUGUAGAUAAAGUAUUCUAUCAUCUACCCCAACGUAAAGAGUUUAUAAUUCUGUACCUCAAAUACAUUUGAUUUUAACUUGUAUUACCAGCUGAAAACCAUCCCUUCACUUGGGAAUUUGGUUCAAGUCCACAAUGGCCUAAUAGAGGGGGUCACGGAACUGAAGCCCACCUACCUCUUCCUUAUGUGAAGUCUGGGGUCUAACCCUUAUCUCCACACCUCCAUUUCUAUUGGGGAAAUGGAAGCUUUUCUAAGGGGUCUUGGACCCAAACCCUACUGUUGGUAGGUGAGUGAUGCAGUGGACCUGACUGGGCCGGGUUGGUACCUAUGGGCUUUAUUUCUCUCCAGGGACACCCUUAUCCAUACUUGGUCCCUGGAGUUCAUGCAGGGUGGCUGCACUCCUGAUCCUGGUGAGUGGUGUUUCAUGCUCUGGCUGUGGUGAACAGCUCAGAGAGGGCUCAUGUUUCUAGGAGGACCCAGGAGAGUGAAUCGCCAAUGACCUUCCAGGGGCUGCCCUGACUUCCAAGGUCUUCUCUGUCAGCUUUGAGAAUACUGUAGCAUGUGGAGCCCUUAGGUACAAGGCCAGCAUACCGACCGACCAACCGACCGACCAACCGACCGACCAACCGUUCUUUGCUUAGUGUAAACGUCAGUGUAAAUACUCAACUUAGUGUAAACCAUCAGGAACCCACAUUCUUCUGAGCUGCAGCUUGUGUAUGUGGUGCUUCAACCUCUGCUCUGCUCAGCCUAAAGGAAGUGCUGUCUCCGAAGGGCAGCAGCCAUCCCUCUCAGCCCACUUACCAUGGAGGAUGCGGUACCAGACACGUCCAAACUCGCCCUCGUCUGCAUCUGUGGCUUUCAGCUGAAGGAGAAGAGACAGUGGAAUUAUUCCCGACCCCAAGGCAGGGAGGGUAGCUGUCCUUAACAGAGUCCCCCAUACUUGACCCCAGGCAUUUGUGUGAGUCCUGUUUAUUGUCUACACGGACACUCUGCCAUCUGUGGUCUAUGUCACCCCAUCCAGGACCACCCACCCCUGCCCUUUCUCAUGAGGGACGGGGCUGGGGGGACAUGUGAGAUAUUCCGUCAUUACUCUCUGGCCCAGGCUGAAAGAGGCCACUCCAUACCUCUAUGACCCCCUACCAGUGAGGCUCUUGGUGUCUUAGGACCAUCAUGAGAGUGACUCUGAAACAGCUGCUGCAUCACUGAAAAGCCCACCCCAGCAUGAGUGCCGAUGCAUAAAAGUUGUGUCCCUGGAGCUUCCCUGAGCAACUUGCGGGCGGUUCCACUGAAGAGUUUCCCAUGAUCCGUAAGUAAACUGUGCUCCUAUAGACUUACUGGUUCACCAAAGGAGCACUGGGUGGAAUCAUUUGUUUUUAUCACGAGUGCCCUAUGUGGGGUGAGACACCACCUAUGUGUUGGUAGACACCACCCUGGGGAAGCUUUGCAACAGAAUUGGUUACCUAUUGUGAUUUAGAUGUGGAAUGCUCCCCUGUCACCUUACUACUUAAAGUUGAAGUUUACCAGUUGACAGCCUUCUGGGGCUCGGCUGCCUACAAAAUGAAGGACUCCCUUUGUGGGCAGGGCUUCCCCUUCCCUGACCUCUCUCCCCCAUUACCUCUGCCUGAAGAAUGUCAUAUAACUUUAGUUAGAUUACAGGUUCAACUUACUUUCUCCUGAUCAGAAACGAUUCUGUUAGCACCUGAGAUUCCCGAAAUGCUUCCCCAUGCUAAUGAGGCAUUUUGGUACCCUAAGCCCUCAGCCAAUGACCUUUGCCCAUCCUGGAUAUUUCUACCGCUGAUUCCCCAAAACUACAUAAGCCUUGAAUCACCCCAAGUAGAAUUGAUGUGACUCCCUGCAGAUGGUCCUGGUGUGUCUUAUAUACUCUAAUCUAUGUACUCACAGGGAUUAGUCCUCAGAUAGUGACACUGUUUGGGAAGGUGGUGGAACCUUUAGGAGACAGUGCCUCACCAUGAAAGAAGUGGGUCACUGGGGACUGGACUUAGCCUCAUAGCCUGCCUCUACUUCCCAUUCACUCUGCUUCUGUGGCCGGGGAUCUGGAGGAGCAGGAGGCAAGAACAGUCAGGAGUGGGGGAGACCUCAGGCAACCAGUGAACGCUGUGAGAAACAGACAUCUUUGGAGGUAGGCUUCAUUGAGCAGCCUGUUUAAUUGUGGAGAAUAAAGGGUAUUUAAACCUC